rnacentral:rRNA from 1 species
GGCAGGCCUAACACAUGCAAGUCGAACGGUAACAGGAAGCUUCUUGCUGCUUUGCUGACGAGUGGCGGACGGGUGAGUAAUGUCUGGGAAACUGCCUGAUGGAGGGGGAUAACUACUGGAAACGGUAGCUAAUACCGCAUAACGUCGCAAGACCAAAGAGGGGGACCUUAGGGCCUCUUGCCAUCGGAUGUGCCCAGAUGGGAUUAGCUAGUAGGUGGGGUAACGGCUCACCUAGGCGACGAUCCCUAGCUGGUCUGAGAGGAUGACCAGCCACACUGGAACUGAGACACGGUCCAGACUCCUACGGGAGGCAGCAGUGGGGAAUAUUGCACAAUGGGCGCAAGCCUGAUGCAGCCAUGCCGCGUGUAUGAAGAAGGCCUUCGGGUUGUAAAGUACUUUCAGCGGGGAGGAAGGGAGUAAAGUUAAUACCUUUGCUCAUUGACGUUACCCGCAGAAGAAGCACCGGCUAACUCCGUGCCAGCAGCCGCGGUAAUACGGAGGGUGCAAGCGUUAAUCGGAAUUACUGGGCGUAAAGCGCACGCAGGCGGUUUGUUAAGUCAGAUGUGAAAUCCCCGGGCUCAACCUGGGAACUGCAUCUGAUACUGGCAAGCUUGAGUCUCGUAGAGGGGGGUAGAAUUCCAGGUGUAGCGGUGAAAUGCGUACAGAUCUGGAGGAAUACCGGUGGCGAAGGCGGCCCCCUGAACGAAGACUGACGCUCAGGUGCGAAAGCGUGGGGGAGCAAACAGGAUUAGAUACCCUGGUAGUUCACGCCGUAAACGAUGUCGACUUGGAGGUUGUGCCCUUGAGGCGUGGCUUCCGGAGCUAACGCGUUAAGUCGACCGCCUGGGGAGUACGGCCGCAAGGUUAAAACUCAAAUGAAUUGACGGGGGCCCGCACAAGCGGUGGAGCAUGUGGUUUAAUUCGAUGCAACGCGAAGAACCUUACCUGGUCUUGACAUCCACGGAAGUUUUCAGAGAUGAGAAUGUGCCUUCGGGAACCGUGAGACAGGUGCUGCAUGGCUGUCGUCAGCUCGUGUUGUGAAAUGUUGGGUUAAGUCCCGCAACGAGCGCAACCCUUAUCCUUUGUUGCCAGCGGUCCGGCCGGGAACUCAAAGGAGACUGCCAGUGAUAAACUGGAGGAAGGUGGGGAUGACGUCAAGUCAUCAUGGCCCUUACGACCAGGGCUACACACGUGCUACAAUGGCGCAUACAAAGAGAAGCGACCUCGCGAGAGCAAGCGGACCUCAUAAAGUGCGUCGUAGUCCGGAUUGGAGUCUGCAACUCGACUCCAUGAAGUCGGAAUCGCUAGUAAUCGUGGAUCAGAAUGCCACGGUGAAUACGUUCCCGGGCCUUGUACACACCGCCCGUCACACCAUGGGAGUGGGUUGCAAAAGAAGUAGGUAGCUUAACCUUCGGGAGGGCGCUUACCACUUUGUGAUUCAUGACUGGGG